CCUUAUAAUAUGCGGUAUCAAGGAACUGGUAGAAAGUUUUCACUUAAUAAAAAUGAAAAUAUUAAUACACACAGAAAAUGACACUGCUUAUUAUAAUAGUGAUAUAUUCAUUUGUCUAUUAUGACAUUGGUUACGCAAAAUUCUGCGUAUGCUACUAUUUAAAUGAACUACAAUCUCCUAAAAUAUAUCCUUUCAUCCCCUCGAUAUGAUCAGGUGUGAAGCAACUUAACGAUCCAAUGAAUUCCCUAAAAUCGGAUAUAUAUCUGUUGAUUCACUUCCCUCAACAAAGAGAAUUUCCAACAUAUUUCAUAAUUUUUCGGAGAAAUUUAUAGCAUCCAUCUAGUAAUGUUUUUCAAAAAAAUUCAAAAACCAGAGUUGUUCAAGGGUUGAAGUUUGGAUCAUGAGUAAACACAGGUUAAAUGAUAAAAAGAGAAUUCUUAGAUCAUAUACAUAACAAGAACAUUUAUACACAACUGGAACUAGUAUAAAAUAAGCUAAUAUUCUUUGAUAUAUACUACAAUUAGUAUUAAUUAAUACAUCCAAAAUGGUUUUAACAAGGAGCAAAACGGUCCAUAAGCAAGAACACAGUUGAUUCACACAUUGUGUUUUCGUUCUUUGUCUCUGCAAUUGAAGAAGAAUUCUGGCUAUUUUUGCUUUCUUCAAUUUUAUCCCCUGAAUUUUUCUUCUUCUGGGAUUUCAACAAGAAAAGGCUUCUGGCUCUGACUUUUUCACUUAGCUUUGUAAUUUCACACACACAAGCAUCAAAUACUGUUGCCAUUUUCUUUUUUUUGGGCAAAGUUUCUCUCUUUUUCUUUUCUCUUAGCUUAUGUAAGUAGUCUUGAAAAUAUAUAAAGGGUCUCUUUAUAUAGUAUGAAAUCAGAAGCAUAGGUGGGGUAGGGGGAUGGGCGGUGGGGGUGGUACUGGUGGAGUUUAGUGGUGUUAAAAAAAUCUAUUGGCAGAUGCCCCUAGAUACACGGAUUUAGUAUAAUUUAUUAGAAUAUUCUCAACUUUUAUAGUACCUUAUUUUGAGGGUAUAUGCAAUACUUGUUAUGAAUAUUCAAAAGCCAGCUAACUAUGAUUAUAUCAACAAUAACAACUCAAUAAAAUUUUAUAAGUAGAGUCUGGGUAACCCUAUAAAUGUGAGUUUCACAAAAUAUAGACGGUUCUAAGUUCGAAUAUUGAGGAUAGUAAAUUGGCAAUCAGCAUAAAAUUAAGUAAAAAUAGUCCGCGCUAGUCAGUUAUUGAAAUAGUAAUUGAAAAAUAGCUAGCAUUUAUGGAGACAUUGAAAAAUAGCCACUGUUUUGCUGAAAUACGAAAAGCUCCAGCAUAAUAUGUUGGAUUGUAAAGGUCCUGCGUAUAAACUUCCAGCAUAUUGUGUUGUAACUCCGUUCCAGCAUAAUAUGCAGGAUUAUGGAGCUCCUACAUAUAAACUUUCAGCAUAUUAUGAUGAAACUCCAGCACAUUAUAAAAUUCUAGCAUAUUAAGUUGGAAACUCAUAUGUAAACAAUUCGAAGUCCAGCAUAGUAUGCUGGAAUUUUUCCGAAAUUUUAAGAGUAUUUUUAUUCAGAUUUUAUCUUUAUAUGAAAAAUGACUAAAUUUCAAUUAUUUUUUAAACUAUGACUAUUUUUCAAUUACCAGUUGGAAAUAUAGCUAUUUCUGAUUUCUUUUUUCUUCCUAAAAUCAAUUGAGACAUACUAGUUAACUGAUUUUUUUUUCAAAAAAUCGAGCCAAAUAAUGUAAUUAUUGCAAAGAUCUGAAAUGAUAAAACAUGGAAAAUUUUGAGAAAUUAUAAAGAAGCUGACUAGUUUGUUAGUAGUUAUUUGGCUUAGGACCACAAAUGAAUUCAAAGUCUUUUGUAUUAUUACGUAGAAAGCAAGUUCUAAAUAGUUGACAAAACAGUGUUCCAUUCUGGCCCAAAGAAACAAAGCAUUUCUGCAGGCGCUGCUACUGGUAUUGCCUUCAACCACGUGAUUUGUGGGCUUUUAACUUUGUUUUUAUUUUAUUUAUCUUUUGGAAUUUUUAAUUGAAUUUAAUUUUUUGAAUUCUGAAAAACACGAAAACGAAUAGAAUCUUUAAUGAUACUGGGAAUUUUCCCAUCCAAUUAGCCAAUGCUACGCGUAUUAGGUUACAUUUAAAUGAUGUAACGGGCAAAAGUCAAUUUUUUUUUCAAUAAUAAAUGUGAAUAUUAUUAUAACAAUCAAAACAGUUUUAUAUCCUACGAUCCUCUAGUGUCUAAAAUGGACCCAGAUUCUAGAUCUCCAGACAAAACAGCACAUCUAGUUACAUAGCUUCUUAAUCCUAGCUCUCUUUUUCCUAUACAAUGUCUCCAAUCUAUCUACAAUCUUUUUCCUAAUUUGUUCAUAUACAAGGUCUAUGUUUACAUUUACUUUCCUAAAGAUUUUCCAGUUUCCUGCUUUUCAAGUUUAGCACAGCAUGACACCCCAUACAACAACUAUUUCCUUUUGGACUUGGCUCCAUCGUCUCCUUUUGAUCCGUUUGAUCAUCUCACUUGCUUCACUGUUGUGAAUUUUGAUGCACAUCCAACUGCUCAGCUUAUCCCUUAGGUUUGCUAUCCACUUGCAUUGUCCAAAGAGAUGUGUGUAUGGGUCAGAAUAUGACUCCGUGAUAAUUAAUGAAAUUAAUUAUAUCUUAAGCUAAUUCUCAAUUAAUAAGUGGAAUGACCACUUAUUAACCAUGAUACCCGGUAGUCAUCCGGCUCGAUCAGCAAGUUUACGACCCAUCCGCCAUUACAAGGACGGGACAUCAAUGCGGUCACGGCCACCUAUCGCUAGUUCAUAAACCUUACAGCUAUAAAUACCAAGAGAAGGAACCCUAGAAGGGGAGGGGGGAGGGGGGCUUCUUUUAUGCUUGCAAAGUAUUCGAUAACUUUGAGCUAAACAAUUUGGCGCCGUCUGUGGAGAUUUCAUAGUAGAAUCGUGUAGUUCUUCCCUGGACCAAAAGGAAAGAAACACCAGAGAACACCCCAGCUCAAACAAGCUAGCGAGGUAUAUCGGAGAAAGAGAACUCGAAGAUCUUGAAUCGAGACCCAACCUCUCUGUCACUCCAGCCUACAUAUCCCGGUUGGGAAGAUAGCGCGUGAGCUGCUCAAGAUCUCGAAUCAAAAUCGAGCUCCAGCCCUAUAACACUGACAUAACGAGGUCCAGGCUAUGUGCCUUUGCCAUAAAAAAUAAAGGUUCAACUACGAGUUGAACUGGGACUCCGGCUAUGCGCCUUCGCCAUAAAAAAUAAAGGUUCAACUACGAGUUGAACUGGGAAUCAAGCUAUGCUCUUUCGCCAUAAAAAAUAAAGGUUCAACUAUGAGUUGAACUGGGACUCAAGCUAUGCACCUUCGCCAUCAAAAAUAAAAGUUCGACUACGAGUCGAACUGGGACUCAGGCUAUGCGCCCUCGCCAUAAAAAAUAAAGGUUCAACUACGAGUUGAAUUGGGACUCAGGCUAUGUGCCUUCGCCAUAAAAAAUAAGGGUUCAACUACGAGUUGAACUGGGACUCUCGCUAUUCAAGUAAGUACUCCAAACUUGAACUACGACUUGGGCCACGUAAAUUCGGCCCCGAUCAAAUUAUAAGGCCGCGUUUUUUACCAUCACAGCCGGUAGUUCGAUCGCGCCCGAACUGAGACUAAGGCUAAGUUUCGCUAUUGCCAAAUAAUGGCUACAACUCGCACAUACCGAGUCGAAGAAGUAUGACCGUUAACAAACAAAAGUCAACACGCCUACCAGAGUCGUACUCUAAGGCAAAUCACCCCGAACACAUACAAUAGAAAAAUCUAAAGAAGAAGAAGGGAAAACAUAAAAUAAGCACAACGCCCACUUACACUCUGCCAGGGCCGAUCAGUACGAAGGAAAGUAAAAAGAAAAA
rnacentral:lncRNA from 1 species